rnacentral:misc_RNA from 1 species
UGGUUCUGGCAUCGAUGAAGAACGCAGCGAAAUGCGAUAAGUAAUGCGAAUUGCAGAAUCCGUGAGUCAUCGAAUCUUUGAACGCACAUUGCGCCCUCUGGUAUUCCGGAGGGCAUGCCUGUUCGAGCGUCAUUAUCACCCCUCAAGCCCGGCUUGUUGUUGGACGCGGCGGCGCCUUUACUGCGCCCCGCCCGUCUCAAAGAUAAUGACGGCGUCUGCGAGGACCCCUGUACACUGAGCUUUCGGGCACGUACUAGGUGUGGACUCCAGACCCGGUCACCGUCCCUUUUAGGGACAACUUUUUAACCAGGUUGACCUCGGAUCAGGUAGGAAUACCCGCUGA